CAUGACCAGGAACCAAACCUUGGCUGCCGAAGCGGCAAGAGCACCGAACUUUAACCACCAGGGUGUCAGGACUGGCUCCCAGUUUUAAACAGUUUUGUUCCCACAAACCACUGAAGUGGCCUGGAAAUAGAUGCUGGCAGGCAGAAAUAGCAUCUGUUUCCUCUGUUGCCGUAUGCCUGCCUCUGUAAACUCAGGGGUCUGGGGUGCUUCCAUCUUGCAACUCCACCAUCUCAAAGGUCCUUAUUCCAGCCACUUGGAUAGGAGAGACGAUGUGGCAUCUUCACCGACUAUUAGGCACAAGAGUAGUCAUUACCAUCUUCAUUUCUCAGAUGAGGAGAUAUGUUCAUUGCCCAAGGUUUUCCAGGCUGCUAAGAGGUACAUUCCAGGCUAACAUCACAGCCUCUUCUUUUCACUGUAUUUCUUGUAACUAGAGAUAUUUUAUCUAUAUUAAUACUUCCUGUCUUUGUUCAUUUCUUCACAGUAAGUUGGUAGAAUUUCCCUUCCUUUUUUUCUGAUAAUUCUGGCAAAAGUUCCAGGGAGGACUCUCGUUGGUUGUGCUUGGGCACAUGUCCAGCCUCAAGCCAGUUUCUAUGGUCUGGACAAUGCAGCGUUCUGAUUGGUCAGGUCUGUGUCACGUGUCUAACUCAGUGGAGGCAAUGGAGCAGAGGGCACCUUCACUGCUACAAUAUGUAAGGGAACAGUGGGGAAGUAUCCCCCUCAAUAAAUCCACAGUGCUGUUAGUAAAAGAAAAGGCAGUGGAUUUCAGGCAGGCAAAUAGAGAUAAGAUCCACCUAGCUGAACAACUGAAUGAAGAAGGAAACGUAAGAUAGAAUUAGCGAUGAGGGAAAUUAAUGGGCACAUGACCUAGACCUGACCAAUCAGAACACUGUAUUGUCUGGGCCAUAGUGAUUGGCUUGAGGAUGAACACGUGGCCCAAGCCCAACCAAUGAGAGCCCUCCCUGGAGUAAACGAAUGAACAAAGGAUGCUUCCUUGGUGGAGAAUGAAGGAAUUCCAAAUGAUGAAAAGUGAGUUAAAGGCAAGUUGACCGUAUGAUGAAGAUAAACUUUGCCCAUUGCAUAGUUUUGCGAUAGCAGGGAUUUAGAUGCUGAAAGGAAGGACUCAGAGCUUGGAAGCCCAGAAGAGCUUGUUUAUUCUUCAUGGAGAGUUGGGCUGGCAGGAGAUGCUGUCUUGUGACCAUUAAGGGACAACCUCAAGGACCAAGGCAACUGCUGAGCAUGACAGAGCUGAAGGAAGGAGACAGCUGAGGUCACUCAUCUGGAGCCUCCCACCUCCAGACUUCUUAUUAUACGAGGCAACCCACUUUUUAGACGGAAACCAUCUGCAGAAGCUCUGGAAAAAUUUCAUCCGGUGACGCUCUCUGGCUCCCUCAGGUAUGACCACCAGAUGGCGCUGGCUCUGAACGGAUCAGAAUAUCCCGCCUGUGGUGCCAGCUGCAGAAAUAAAUGGUCUAUGUGCCAGGCCCUGGGCCCCCGCGUCCCCAUCACUCUGAUCUAAGGCUGGAGAUGGAUUGAUUUCGUCUUCAGCGACACCUGCAGAGGGCGAAAGCCACGCCGGCAUUCUGACAUGGAGCAAAUCUCUCCUCUGUACCCCCAUCGUACCUCCCUAACUCUCAUGGACUGAGCAAGUCCUGACUUGUGUGUUAGUUCUGUUUAUGUCCGUCUUCUCCUCUCCCAACCUCCUGUCCCUAUUACAUUGUGAGAUGCCUGCAGGAAGAGACUGAAUGCCCUAACCCAGAGCUUUGUGCAUAAAGGGCAUUCCAUACCUGUUGAGUUUAAGUUUCAAUGAAGAAUACAGAGGUUUGGAAAAUAGAGGUUAGAAAAAAAAAGGUACACGUUUCAAAGAAAAAAACGUGUAAGAAGACUAUUGGACUGGGCAUCAGAAAAUCUGACUUCUAGGGUUG